rnacentral:rRNA from 1 species
GACGAACGCUGGCGGCGUGCUUAACACAUGCAAGUCGAACGGAAAGGCCCUGCUUUUGUGGGGUGCUCGAGUGGCGAACGGGUGAGUAACACGUGAGUAACCUGCCCUUGACUUUGGGAUAACUUCAGGAAACUGGGGCUAAUACCGGAUAGGAGCUCCGGCUGCAUGGUGGGGGUUGGAAAGUUUCGGCGGUUGGGGAUGGACUCGCGGCUUAUCAGCUUGUUGGUGGGGUAGUGGCUUACCAAGGCUUUGACGGGUAGCCGGCCUGAGAGGGUGACCGGCCACAUUGGGACUGAGCUACGGCCCAGACUCCUACGGGAGGCAGAAGUGGGGAAUAUUGCACAAUGGGCGGAAGCCUGAUGCAGCAACGCCGCGUGCGGGAUGACGGCCUUCGGGUUGUAAACCGCUUUCGCCUGUGACGAAGCGUGAGUGACGGUAAUGGGUAAAGAAGCACCGGCUAACUACGUG